rnacentral:misc_RNA from 1 species
CCAAUAUCUAAGUAACUAGAUAAGAGGAAUCGAUUUUCCCUUAAUUUUCUGGCGUCCACUGCAUGUUAUGCCGCGUUCGCCAGGCUUGCUGUACCAUGUGCGCUGAUUCUUGCGCUCAAUACGUUGCAGGUUGCUUUCAAUCUGUUUGUGGUAUUCAGCCAGCACUGUAAGGUCUAUCGGAUUUAGUGCGCUUUCUACUCGUGAUUUCGGUUUGCGAUUCAGCGAGAGAAUAGGGCGGUUAACUGGUUUUGCGCUUACCCCAACCAACAGGGGAUUUGCUGCUUUCCAUUGAGCCUGUUUCUCUGCGCGACGUUCGCGGCGGCGUGUUUGUGCAUCCAUCUGGAUUCUCCUGUCAGUUAG